UACGUAGGGACCAAGCGUUGUUCGGAUUUACUGGGCGUAAAGGGCGCGUAGGCGGCGCGGUAAGUCACUUGUGAAAUCUCUGAGCUUAACUCAGAACGGCCAAGUGAUACUGCAGUGCUAGAGUGUGGAAGGGGCAAUCGGAAUUCUUGGUGUAGCGGUGAAAUGCGUAGAUAUCAAGAGGAACACCUGAGGUGAAGACGGGUUGCUGGGCCAACACUGACGCUGAUGCGCGAAAGCCAGGGGAGCAAACGGG
rnacentral:rRNA from 2 species